GACGAACGCUGGCGGCGUGCUUAACACAUGCAAGUCGAACGAGUGGCGAACGGGUGAGUAAUACGUGGGUAACCUGCCCUCUUUUUGGGAUAAGCCUUGGAAACGGGGUCUAAUACCGAAUAAAGGGGGAUGGGCUCGCGGCCUAUCAGCUUGUUGGUGGGGUGAUGGCCUACCAAGGCGGUGACGGGUAGCCGGCCUGAGAGGGUGACCGGCCAAAUUGGGACUGCGAUACGUCCCAGACUCCUACGUGAGGCAGCAGUGGGGAAUAUUGCACAAUGGGCGUAAGCCUGAUGCAGCCAUGCCGCGUGUGUGAAGAAGGCCUUCGGGUUGUAAAGCACUUUCAGCGGGGAUGCUUUCGCUAUCGAACAAGGCUCACUUAGGGUGGGUUGAGGGUAGGUGGAGAAGAAGCGCCGGCUAACUACGUGCCAGCAGCCGCGGUAAUUC
rnacentral:rRNA from 1 species